rnacentral:rRNA from 1 species
ACGCGAGGAACCUUACCAGGUCUUGACAUCUGAAUGACCGGUACAGAGAUGUACCUUUCCUUCGGGACAUUCAAGACAGGUGGUGCAUGGUUGUCGUCAGCUCGUGUCGUGAGAUGUUGGGUUAAGUCCCGCAACGAGCGCAACCCUUGAUCUUAGUUGCCAGCACUUCGGGUGGGCACUCUAAGGUGACUGCCGGUGACAAACCGGAGGAAGGUGGGGAUGACGUCAAAUCAUCAUGCCCCUUAUGACCUGGGCUACACACGUACUACAAUGGCCAGUACAACGGGAAGCGAAGCCGCGAGGUGGAGCCAAUCCUAAAAAGCUGGUCUCAGUUCGGAUUGCAGGCUGCAACUCGCCUGCAUGAAGUCGGAAUUGCUAGUAAUCGCGGAUCAGCAUGCCGCGGUGAAUACGUUCCCGGGUCUUGCACACACCGCCCGU